rnacentral:lncRNA from 12 species
CUUUAUUCUAAGUUGUACCAUAUUGGAUCUCAUCAUUAUUUGUAUUGACAGAUACAUCUUUUCUUUUCUUUUAAAGAUUUAUUUAUUUAUCUAUGAUAGACAUAGAGACAGAGAGAGGCAGAGACAAAGGAGGAGGGAGAAGCAGGCUCCAUGCCGGGAGCCCGACGCGGGACUCGACCCCAGGACUCCAGGAUCGCGCCCUGGGCCAAAGGCAGGCGCCAAACCGCUGAGCCCCAGAUACAUCUUUUCUAAAUACCAUCCUAGGGCUCCCCCAGAUACAUCUUUUCUAAAUACCAUCCUAGGGCUCUCAUGGGGACAUGGCUAGAAAAAAAUAAAAAUGCAUUAUAGAGUUUGAAUGUGGUUGAGCAUGGCAUUGAAGCAUUCAGAGCAUGGCACUGAAAAAUGGAAUUUUGCCUGUGUUUAAUCUUUCUCCUAAGGAGCUCAAAGAUCUUUAUAAGUGUGGCUGCAAAUUAUCUUUACAUUGCUCAGAAACACUGGCAAAUUUGGAAAACUUUUCAUGGCACUAGUACUAAUAGACAGCAUUGACAUUUGCCAUUUCUAGUUAACCAUGUUAUCUAGGCCUUUCCAAUUUAGUUGUUUUAGAAGAUAAGAUUUUAUUCAGGUUGGCUAAGGCUAUUUUAUCAAAUAAUUGAGGAAAGAAAGGAACUAACCUCUAUAUAGUUCCUCAUAUGUACCAGCUGCCGUGCUAAGUAGGCCAGUACCAUAUUGACCCCUCAGCAAUUUUAUGAAGUACGAUUUAUUAUCUCCACCUAUUUCAGAUAAAGAGAUUGAGGGUUCUAACGUGGCAGAAGAGGGAUUUGCAUCCUGGUCUGACCCACAGCCUGAACUUCCUCUUUCUUGCUCGCCAACCCACUCUUGUGGAGGCUGUAUGGAGGGCCUGCACUCAGCACACAAAGGAAGUGGACUUUGCUUUCUGGCUAAGAGACUCCCAGGACAGGGACUAUUUCUCACACUCCUAGCCAAGUUCACCAGAAAUGAGCAUUUUACCAGAAAAGGCUAUGCAUGAAAGAAGCCCCUGUUACAAGUCAGCUUCACUGAGGAUUACUUAUGGAUGGCAUUUCUGGGCCACAUCACUCUUUAUGAAUGGAUCCAAGACUAAAAUAUUUACUUGUGGGAAGUCUAUGCUUUCUGCUGCUCUGUAAGCAUGGCCAGAAAAAUGAACAUGGAAG